rnacentral:rRNA from 1 species
CCUACGGGUGGCAGCAGUGGGGGAUAUUGCACAAUGGGGGGAACCCUGAUGCAGCGACGCCGCGUGGGUGAAGAAGCGCCUCGGCGCGUAAAGCCCUGUCAGCAGGGAAGAAAAUGACGGUACCUGUAGCAGAAGCCCCGGCUAACUACAUGCCAGCAGCCGCGGGAACACGGAGGGGGCAAGCGUUAUCCGGAUUUACUGGGUGUAAAGGGGGCGCAGACGGCGAUGCAAGCCAGGAGGGAAAGCCCGGGGCCCAACCCCGGGACUGCCCUUGGAACUGCGUGGCUGGAGUGGAGGAGGGGCAGGCGGAAUUCGUGGUGUAGCGGGGAAAUGCGUAGAUAUCAGGAGGAACACCGGUGGCGAAGGCGGCCUGCUGGACUGCAACUGACGUUGAGGCCCGAAAGCGUGGGGAGCGAACAGGAUUAGAUACCCUGGUAGUC